AUACGGAGGGGGCUAGCGUUGUUCGGAAUUACUGGGCGUAAAGCGCACGUAGGCGGACUGAUCAGUUGGGGGAGAAAUCCCAGGGCUCAACCCUGGAACUGCCUCCAAUACUGUCAGUCUUGAGAUCGGAAGAGGUGAGUGGAAUUCCUAGUGUAGAGGUGAAAUUCGUAGAUAUUAGGAGGAACACCAGUGGCUAAGGCGGCUCACUGGUCCGAUACUGACGCUGAGUUGCGAAAGCGUGGGGAGCAAACAGGAUUAGAAACCCUAGUAGUCC
rnacentral:rRNA from 1 species